UACGUAGGGUGCAAGCGUUAAUCGGAAUUACUGGGCGUAAAGCGUGCGCAGGCGGUUUGCUAAGACAGGUGUGAAAUCCCCGGGCUUAACCUGGGAAUGGCCGUUGAAACUGGCGAACUGGAGUGUGGCAGAGGGGGGUGGAAUUCCGCGUGUAGCAGUGAAAUGCGUAGAGAUGCGGAGGAACACCGAUGGCGAAGGCAGCCCCCUGGGCUAACACUGACGCUCAGGCACGAAAGCGUGGGGAGCAAACAGG
rnacentral:rRNA from 1 species